GUACCCUACAUAUGCUAACUCAAUUGCAACGGUGCCCUGUAUCCAUCCCGUGCUCGCCGCCGCCCGCGCCCUCGCCCUGCACCAGCGUUCGCCCGCGUCCUCCGCUCCCCUGCACUGCAGCACGCGCCGGGCUGCCGCCGCCUCGCCAAGCGCCGGAAGCCGGUCGGCCCUUCCAUCCCCACGCCGGUGGCCACGCCCCCUCCUCUUCCUCGCCGGCGACCGCACCCUCGCUCCUCCCCACAUCGGCGGCCACGCCCUCGCUCUCCCCACAGCUGCGGCCGCGCCAUCGUCGAUCCCCAGCUCGGCGGGGAGGAGAAUCCCGAGGCCGAGGUCGUAGAGCUGCAGGCCCAGACCGCGCUGGUGUUCCUCUUCUUCUUCAAGUCCAGCUGGUCCGCGUGGUUGCUGGUGUUCCUCUUCUGCGUUGGCGCUAUCCAGGGAAUGGAAUAUUGGCGGCAGCUUGCUGGACGAGAGAUCAGUUGAGCCCACUUCCAGCCUCCCAAGAACUGGAUCAAUGAGGUCGCCUAUUUUCUCAGCAUAUAUCCGAGGAGAGUCACCUCCUGUUCACUUCACCGUCAACGGACGGACAUAUGACAUGGGGUACUACCUUGCAGAUGGUAUAUACCCUGAUUGGCCAGCAUUUGUCAAGAGUGUCACGGGAAGCAUUUGUAGCAGCACAUCACAAGUUGCGUGACCAAGCUCGCCAUAUCCAACUUCAGAAGGAUCUCAUAGAGCACAACUGGAUGCGAUAUGGUUCAAUCUAGUUUUUUUUUCUUCUUUUGCUUCAGUUGUAAUGCUUCAGAAACUGUAGUUUUUUCUUUUUUUCUUCUUUUGUAAUGUUUAUGAUUGGACGAAAUGAAAUGAUCUAGAGAAGUGGACUGAACUUUGCUGAAAUGAUCAAGAAAUAUGGAACACUUGAUGCUAAAAGAACUGAAGUUCAAUCUGAUUCUAACACAGGGGGAAGGUAUAUUUGUUUACUGUUUUUCUUUAUCUGAUAUAAUGGAUGUCUGUAUCUGUAUCUGCACAAACAUGCUUGAUGGAUGUAAAUCUGUACCAUGUUGAUCA